rnacentral:rRNA from 1 species
GACGAACGCUGGCGGCGUGCUUAACACAUGCAAGUCUCACGACGUGGCGACCGGGUGAGUAAUACUUGUGUAACCUGCCCUCCUUUUUGGUAUAAACUUUGGAAACUGGGUCUAAUACCCAAUCAAGGGUGCUGGCCUCGCGGCCUAUCAGCUGGUUGGUGUGGUGAUGGCCUACCAAGGCGGUGCCGGGUAGCCGGCCUGAGAGGGUGACCGGCCACAUUGGGACUGAGAUACGGCCCAGACUCAGACGGGAGGCAGCAGUGGGGGAUAUUGCACAAUGGGCGAAAGCCUGAUGCAGCCAUGCCGCGUGUAUGAAGAAGGCCUUAGGGUUGUAAAGUACUUUCAGCGGGGAGACGUUACCCGCAGAAGAAGCACCGGCUAACUCCGUGCCAGCAGCCGCGGUAAUUC